AGAACAGAGACCUGGAAGGAUGUGGCCUCCCAACACAGGACAGCCUACCUCUUAACUUCUCUUACAUGCAACAGAAAUAACCUGCUGUAUUGUUGAAGCCACUGCUUUUUCUUGUCAACUGAAGAACAACGAAGUUACAAAUUUGGAAAGGAGAGCUUUAUUUCUCAUAAAGCGUUGCAGCCUGCAGGCAGCCAUUCUGAUAAGCUGGCAAGCGUCACCUCCAGUCAGAAGCCAGAAAUAGGCUCUUGAGAGUGGGAAGAAUAAGACAGAGAUAUAUGCUGAGCAGGGUGGCCAAAUAUAUAUAUUUGACAGUUAUAGGAGGAGCUAUGAAUAUUCACAAAGGGGAGGCAUGGGCAUGUGUAGAGGACUAACAUGAAUACAACAUGUGUCCCAUGUUCACUUUGGGGUGGAAACCUAAUGUUUAAAUGUAUUACAAUUAGGCCCUAUACAUCCAAGGGUGAAACAGAGCACACAAAGUCCCUCUGCACAGCAUCCAUAGAUGGCCAGAACCACUUUGUGGUUGGCGGUCUCUUAUCAGGAAAGAAUGCUGAUCAUUUGUUGUGUCAAAACCACAAAAGGGAGGUUGGUUGAAUUUAGCAGUGGAACAAGUCCUUCCAAAGGGCUGGUUUUUGUUUAAUGCUUAAGAAAGAAAGCCUAAAUAGUGGUUAAUGAGGGAGGGGGUAUAACAAGGCAUGUCCAACCUUCUGUACCAUCAUGGCCAGUUUUUAAGGUUUUUCUGGGGUCCCCUUGGCCAAGUGGGGAAGGAUCCAGUCAGUUGGUAUGGCAUUUAGGAUUUUAUUUUUAUUUAUCAAUCUCAUUUUGUUUUUCCAUUAAAUGCAGCCAAACCUAAUUUGAACUGAUAUACUUAAUGAAGAAGAAGAGAGCAGAACUCAGGGUUUUACUAUAGCCAAGAAAAACAAUGUGGCUCAGUCGAUACUUCUUAUUUCUACCAAACAAGUGUUCAUUUUUUUAUGAACAUUUUAUAAUACCUAUUUUACUCUCCUAAAAUGAAAAUCACAGACACUAUUGCCUAUAGGUAUAAAUAAUUGUAAAUAAUUGAACACACACAAACACAUUGCCUUAACAAUAGGAAAGAGGAUAAAUAAAAGGAAAGUAAGUCAGCAUAAAAUGACAUAUAAUUUAACAUGUAAAUACUGGAGUAUGAGCAUCCCAGGAGACUUAAAGAAGUUGUCAGGAGCUAGCACUUUCAUAUCGUGAAUAGGCUUGCAUUUAAGGGAAGUAAGAAAGCACAUUUAAGAAUGUCAGGUAGGACACACAAGGAAUGUGGAGUGGGAAACUGGACUGUCUCACAUAUUACAGGACAUAUGGCAUUGCUGUCCAUUAAGUGCCAGUAGAACCUCCCAAUCACUCUCACAACAAAAAUUGCCCCACAGAUUUCCAGACUGAAGCCAGUAGCCCGUCUUAUUUGAAGCCUCUGGUCUAAGUGGGCUAGAAACACCUGGGCUCUCUCCUUGGCACAGAGCCUUGAGGGUGGCCCCUUCCUUCCUGAGGCCAAGGCCUGGCCUGCCUGUCUUAACAGCUCUUAGUUUUCUCUCUUUCUGCUCUAAUCUCCACUUAGGAAUGCCAGAUUUAGCAAUAAAAUUCGAGAAUUCCUGGUUAAAUUUGAAUUUCAGAUUAAACUAUGAAUAAUCGUUUAAGUAAGUCCCAAAUCUUGCAUGAGACCUACACUAAAAAAAAAAAGGAAAAAAAUUGAUUUAACUGAAAUUUGAAUUUAGCUGGAACACCCUAUAUUUUACUUGACAACCUUACUCCCAGUACACAUUGUUCCCCUCAGAACCUCAAGAAAACCUAUCUUAAGGGUAUCAAUUCAGCCGGGAGACUUUAAGACCUACGGGCAUAAUGUAGAAUUUCCCAAAAUGGGUUCCACGGAGUACUUCCAUGAAGUGCUCAGUAGGAAAAAAGAGACAGCCUACCUUAACUCCUCUUAGAGAUUCAUAAUACUGUACAUAUCUCCUAGGAAAGCUUAAGCGGGUCCUGCUCUUACAUUUAAUACUUAACCUGGUAUUUCCCAAACCAUUUCAUCUAGCACCUGCUAACUGUCCCAGACACCAGUGGUCCAGGGAACACACCGUAGGAGGCAGGUUUGAGGAAACUAUUUCUGGAGCCCCAAACUAAUCCCACAUGGCCACACUCCUGCUGUGGUUACUAUGACUCUCUAGGCCUCAGUUUCUCAUCAGCAGAAGGGUGGAGUCGAAUGGAAUUAGCUUGAAGGUCCCUGGAGUUUAUGAAAUCUGGAGAUUCCACUUUCAUACACUGCCUUUCCUCAGAGCUCUGUCCCAUUAUUACCAAGAGCCACCUCAAGCCAAACUCAAAAGUUGGGGCAAACCAAAGGUUCAAAGCUCACACAGUGCAUGAACUGUCUCCAGGAGCCUGAAUUCUCUAUCCUAUUUUUAGCUCUGAUCCAUCUCAGGCCCAGCAGAUACCAUAGUGAUGAUCACUGUAAUUUCAUGGGAAAGAUACAGGAAACCCAACAAUAACAGCAAUAAUUCAGCAGCCUAGCAGAUGCCAGAUCUCAUUUGUGCUUCACCCUUAGCAUGACUGAUGAUACACACUAUCAGAGCAAAAGAAUGUUCAUCUGUGGCAAAAGACCUUUAGCACAUUUCCUGUAACCUCCAAUUUGCAGCAAGUUGAGUUCCAGUUGGUGGGUUGCUGAUGUGGCCACUAGAAAAAGGUGACCCCUCCAUUCCUUGGCAUGGACAUUUAGACUCUCAAGAAUACCACUGAAGCCAUGCAGAGGAUAGAGGCAAAGGGAGAUAACACAAACACUCAGAGGAAAAGAUGAUGUGAAAACAGAGGCAGAGAUUAAAGUGCAGUGACCUCAAGUCCAAGAGUGCCGAAAAAGCCACCAGAAGCUGGAAGAGUUACAGCAGCCUCUGAGGUGGUGGAGGGUGGCAGCAGGACAGUGAGCUGAGGGCCAACCCCUGUGCCCAAGUGUGCUGCUCUGCUCAACUCCAUGUGCACCAGGGAACAGCCAUUCUCUGCAGGCUGAUUUGAUCUGGAACCACAAUUGAGUCUAGUUCUGGAAUCUCAGACACAUGGAGAACUACACCUUGUCUCCAGUUGCUACAAGUCAAGUCCACCUGCAUGCAGACAGCUACAAUUGUCUUGUAAAAUUAGAAAACAGAACAGGGACAACAGUAUUAUCUAUAUUGACUAUAGAUUAAUUAUUCAUCUGCAUUCUUUGUCUUUUGUACUUAUAAAUAUGAAAUUUGUAUAUAAACAUGUGUUUUACAACAUAAGAUACAGAUCUAUAUAUAUAUAUACCUUUGAAAGAUUAUUCUCUCUGCUCUUUGGCCUAAAUUUCCAAAUGGAAUCAUCCUGUGUACAGUAACCUGUGUCUGAAAAUUUCUGUCCACUUAGAGUAAUGAAGGCAUGGGGUCAUAAUGAGAGCAACAAAAAAGUUACACUUUAUACUGUGAAAGACCGUCACCUUAUUGUUCAUUUACUUAAGUUUUUCAUUUUGUUUUUUUAAAAUAUAUUUUGAAAUGUUGAAUAAAAAACUCAAGGCAC
rnacentral:antisense_RNA from 1 species